rnacentral:misc_RNA from 1 species
CGCACCUUGCGCCCUCUGGUAUUCCGGAGGGCAUGCCUGUUUGAGUGUCAUGUUAAUCUCACCUCAAGGUUUCUUGAGCGUGGACUUGGGGGUGGCAUUUGGCCUCCCCUUAAAAGCGUUAGCGACAAACGAUGUAAUAAGUUUCAUCCGAAGCCGCUCACAAAGCCCAAUUAUUUUAUGACUAGACCUCAAAUCAGGUAGGACUACCCGCUGAACUUAA